UAGAGGAAGUAAAAGUCGUAACAAGGUUUCCGUAGGUGAACCUGCGGAAGGAUCAUUAUUGAAUAAGUUGAAGGGUUGUCGCUGGCUUUUCGAAGCAUGUGCACGCCUUUCAUUAACUGCUUAUAUCUCCACCUGUGCACACUUUGUAGACGCUGGGAUACCCCUCAAAUCAAGCUUAAUUGUUUGAUUUGGAAAUGAGAGCUUGCUGGCAUCAUUAGAGGUCGGCUGCCCUUGCUUUCCAGUGUCUAUGUUUAUCUAUACACUCCCAAGUUAAUAGAAUGUCAUUAAAUGGCAGUGAUGCCUUUAAAAUUGUAAUACAACUUUCAACAACGGAUCUCUUGGCUCUCGCAUCGAUGAAGAACGCAGCGAAAUGCGAUAAGUAAUGUGAAUUGCAGAAUUCAGUGAAUCAUCGAAUCUUUGAACGCACCUUGCGCUCCUUGGUAUUCCGAGGAGCAUGCCUGUUUGAGUGUCAUUAAAUUAUCAACCCCUUCAAGCUUUUGAAGGCUGGAUUGGAUGUGGGGGUUUGCGGGCUUCUAAUCGAGGUCGGCUCCCCUUAAAUGUAUUAGCGGAAAGCCUUUGUUUACCGUCUCUGGUGUGAUAAUUAUCUACGCCAUUGCUUAACAAUAUGGGGUUCAGCUUCUAACCGUCUUUUACAAAGACAAGUUAUUGACAAUUGACCUCAAAUCAGGUAGGACUACCCGCUGAACUUAAGCAUAUCAAU
rnacentral:rRNA from 1 species